rnacentral:rRNA from 1 species
CCUACGGGAGGCAGCAGUGGGGGAUAUUGCGCAAUGGGGGAAACCCUGAUGCAGCGACGCCGCGUGUGGGAAGACGGUCCUCUGGAUGGUAAACCACUGUCCCCAGGGACGAAGAUGACGGUACCUGGGGAUGAAGCUCCGGCUAACUACGUGCCAGCAGCCGCGGUAAUACGUAGGGAGCGAGCGUUGUCCGGAAUUACUGGGUGUAAGGGGAGCGUAGGCGGGACUGCAAGUUGGGGGGCAAAUCUACCGGCUCAACCCGUAGCCGCAAUCCAAACUGCAGUUCUUGAGUGAAGGAGAGGCAGGCGGAAUUCCUAGUGUAGCGGUGAAAUGCGUAGAUAUUAGGAGGAACACCAGUGGCGAAGGCGGCCUGCUGGGCUGUGACUGACGCUGAGGCUCGAAAGUGUGGGGAGCAAACAGGAUUAGAUACCCCUGUAGUC